CAGAGGAGAAACGUGUAAUCACCCAAACAACCAUUUUUACCCAUUUCACCCCCUCUGGAUCUGUGUCGCAAGCCUGCCGUCAGCUUUUCUGUCUUUCACUGCGGAUACCGUGGAGGGAGGCCGGACGGCGAAGAAGACACCAAGAGGAGGAAGAGGAUGCCCAGGAGGACAGGAAAUCGCAUGCAAAACACACAUUACUCCUGAAGUCCAAUUUGCACGUGAGUUCUAAUAUUAGAGCUUCUGUUUAACUAAAGUCUGGUAGGUAAUUUA